UAAGUACCCAAUAGUUGAAUGGUAUUCUUGUUAGUUAUACUGAGGUGAGAGAAUGAGUAUCUAGCCAAAUUAAUAUUUAUCCAGCAUUGAUGAUUUCCAAUUAUUUGAUUUUAUAGUCAUUUGCAGCAACCCACUCCUCAAUUGUCAACAUUGGGGACUAUUCAUGUUAUCUGUACUUCUAUCUUUCGGCAUAGCAGUACAUAGUCCAAAUAAUAAGCUCAAUGAAUGUCAAUAUCUAUUCCGUUAUUUUAAAAAUAUGUUUCCAAUUAUUUUUUAUUUUACCUUUUCUGGUGUUUUUGAUUUUUUAUGAAGCCACUAAUACCUUAACUUGUUGAACUAUCUUUUGGUUACAGGUAAUUGCAAAUGCUUGCAAAGUUCCAACAACAUUUGUUUCAGAAUUGACUGAAUCUGAAGAUCCUGAUGAAUGUGUAAAGCACUUUGAUGAAGAUCAAGAAUUAGAGCAGCUUAUAAGUGGGGAAAUAUGUUUUAAGAAAAUGUUUCGCAGAGACACAUACUUCUGAUACAGAAAGGAAGAUAAUUUUAUCUGGUUCAUGUAAUCCUUUACAUGGUCACCUAAAGCUUCUUGAAGUUGCUACUAGGUGCAUCAAUCUCUUUGUGGACACAUGAUUUUGAAAUGCUUGGCUUACUUUUAUAUCAUUUGGUGAAUCGCAUAUUUAUUCUUGAUAUUGGGAAAAGAGAUUUAUACUCUUGCUGAAAAUAUUAUUUCAGCUUUGCUAGUCUUCUCUUGUCAAACAAGUGUGCAUAAUUUUUCAAAUAUUCAUUUUUAUUUGAGGUUUUCCUUUAUAAGGACUUGACUAAUUUCAACAAUGUGUUAUGCCAUUGGGUUUUUUAUUUUUUAUUUUUUCCCCAAUUCUGAUAUUUCCCCAAUUGAUUCUUGUGUAUCUGUUAGCAUAAAUUUGAAGCUUACUUCAUGUGUUAUCUCUCUUGUUUUCUUUCCAAAGGCAUAUGAUCUCAUUUAGCUUAGAUAGUGAGGAUUGAAAAAUGGCUUUCCAAUUUGCCAAUCCAAGGAAUGAAAACUGAAAUAGCACUUGUAAGAGCUUCUAAUUGAAUAAACUGGUCGAACGCUCCUCACAUAAUUGGUUGGUCAUUUAGAAUUAACUAAGCCCAGAGGAGUGGAAGUUAAACCUUACCGACUUGUACAAGGGACUGAUGUCCAUGUUUAGAAUGACUUUGGACUGUGACAUGAUAGCUGUGGGAUGUUAUCCUUUCAUUUGACUGUAUCUCAUUUUUCCAUUUAUCCUCAUGUUUGUUAUUUGUGUCUCAUCUUUUUUUGUUUUUUGGUGGUGUGAACCACUGUGAAACCAGGGUGUUCACAGUAUGUUCUCAAGGUAGCUUUGAGUGCCAUGGCUUCUGUGACUGAAAUUCUCUCAGUAAUGUCUUCGUCUUCGAACAGUGGGGUGACGCCAUUUUAGAAGCACAAAUUAACCACUUUGGUACUGGAAUUCCAAAUUCCGUUUAAUUCUUAUUUUACUUCAGUAGUUUCAUUAAUUUUUUUAGGUAAGGUUGAGGACUUUUUUCCCCCCCCCAAAUUUUGCAAACUAUGUGAUGCAAAAUAAAUGGAACCUGUGUUAAGGCUUAUUGAAAGUUGAGAUUUUUUUUCUCUGUUGUCAGAAAAUGGUGAACCAUGUUCUGUUCCUUACCGAAUGAAAUUUGUAUGCAUCGAGCCAUAAUAGAGAUUUGAUGUUUUUGCCAGCAAUUUUAAGAAGUUGAACUCUUAAUAAAAAUAAAUUUGCUUUUAUCUUACUAGCUUACAUGAUAUGUAAUCCUAGUAGAAAUAUUUAAAGUCUUACCUCCAUCAUAUGAAUAAAUACCCUUUCCUCCAUUAUCUUAUUAAAUUAUUCAUGUAGUUAACUGGGUGAUAUUAUUUUGAAAGUUUUGUUCAGGAAGGCAGAAAGAGAAAACUAGAAAUACAAGGAGUUCAGCAAAAAGGAAGUUUUGUUCAAUAUAGAUUUUUGACAUGCUAGUUCAGUUCAUGGAGAAUUUGUCAUCCAAUGGGAAUUGUUUGCAGAGAAUACUCUAUUAAUCCUUUGCAUCUAAUCUGAACUUAGACCCGUUGACAAGAAAUGCUACAGGGUUAGUUGCUCCAGCUAUUGCCGCGGGUUUAGAUGCCUUAACACAUACAUUGGGCACCCUCGUCCCUGUGAUAGGAGCAAGUGAAUUUGCUACAGCUGCAGCUGCAGCUGCAACUGCAACUACUAUAGGAACUGUUGUCGGUAGUUUUAAAUAAUCUCUUAAUAGUUAUCGAUAUGUUUAGAAAGUGAGAUAUACAUAGUUUUGGAUGGUUUAAACUAUUUGUACAGUUUAAAAUUUAAGGAUAUAGUUUUCGAAUGUUUAGAAUGUAUAGACAAUUGUUGAAUGUUUAUAAUUUAUGGAUAUAUUUUCUUUUUUAUGUUUCAAACAAUAUUUUGGUGGUUGAUCAAUGUUUUG